rnacentral:tRNA from 1 species
AGGCGAUUAGCUCAGCUGGUCAGAGCGCCACUUUCAUACGGUGGAUGUCACAGGUUCGAACCCUGUAUCGCCUA